AUGAGGAUUCGGGGGCUGGCGAUGAGCGGCGGCAGGGAGGUGGCCAUCUCCGCCGUCUUCACGGCGCUCCUCGUCGUCUCCAUCCUCUUUCUCCCCUCGGUCCUGCUCACCAGCGGCAGGCUCGGCCCAUCCUCCGCCAAGGAGUGGCCGUUCCUCGCGGCGGCCAAGGACGGCGGCUACUACCCGGUGUCGUUCGCGUACCUCAUCUCUGCGUCGACGGGGGACGCGGAGCGAGCGGCGAGGCUGCUGGCGGCGCUGUACCACCCGGCCAACAGUUACCUGCUGCACCUGGACCGCGAGGCCCCCGCCGAGGAGCACCGCCGACUGGCUGAGCUGGUGUCCGGGCAGCCCGUGUACGGGCGCGUGGGGAACGUGUGGAUCGUGGGGAAGCCCAACCUCGUCACCUACCGCGGACCGACCAUGCUGUCCACCACUCUCCACGCGAUGGCGGUGCUCCUCCGCGUCGGCCGCCGCUGGGACUGGUUCGUCAACCUCAGCGCCUCCGACUAUCCGCUCGUCACCCAGGACGAUUUGAUGGAGGCCUUCUCGCGGCUGCCGAGGGAUCUCAACUUCAUACAGCACACCAGCCACUUGGGCUGGAAGAUNNNNNNNNNNNNNNNNNNNNNNNNNNNNNNNNNNNNNNUGUACGAGGCCGACCGGUCGGAGCUCCUCCGCCCGUCGCCCAACAUCACCACCAACCGCCGGGGACUCCCCACCGCCUUCAAGCUCUUCACCGACAAUUCAGGCCGCACAGCAAGCCGCGAAUGUGCUGGCGAAGCAAAUGCUGCAGUACCUUUUGCUUUGUUCGUCGAUUGCUUCCAAGAAACGGCAGGGUCGGCGUGGACCAUGCUGUCGCGGCGCUUCGCGGAGUACUGCGUGAUGGGGUGGGACAACCUGGCGCGGACGCUGCUGCUCUACCACGCCAACCUCGUCUCCUCGCCGGAGUUCUACUUCCAGACGGUGGCCUGCAACUCCCGCGAGUUCCGGAACGCCACCGUCAACAGCGACCUGCAUUUCAUCCGGUGGGACACCCCGCCCAAACAGCACCCGCUCUACCUCGGCCCCAAGGACUACCGCCGGAUGGUGCUCAGCAGCGCCGCCUUCGCCCGCAAGUUCAGGGACGCCGACCUCGUGCUCGACAGGAUCGACCGGGAGAUCCUCAAGCGCCGACCGCCGUCCCGCGACGACGAUCACGGUGAUCACGCCGCCUCUGCCUCUGUUGCUAGGCACGGCGGGCAGUUCUUCAGCUACGGCGGGUGGUGCUCCGAGGGGGAGGUGGGGCUGUGCUCCAACCCCUGGGAACCCAGCAGGAAGGGGGCCAUCAAGCCCGGCGCUGGGUCAAGAAGGCUCAGGGUCAUGCUCAACAAGAUGUUGUCCGGAAGAAACUUCAGGAAGCAGCAGUGUAGGUGA
rnacentral:rRNA from 1 species